AAGGUGUGCUGAUCUGAGGAUACU
rnacentral:sRNA from 1 species